GUCGCUCACAAGGUCGCGUCUCAUCGACGCGCCGUCUUUGCGCACCUCUUACUUUCUUAUCAUAUACUGUCCCGUCGAUGUUUACGCAGUUUCGGCAUGCACUAUCGGUGGAUUGCAGCCAGUUUCGUGCCGGUCGCUGGUUAAUCGAGUCGUGUUUUGUGAGACUUAUAUCGUUUAUUCGGACUUCAAUUUUCUAAAUUUGUGUUAUACUCGACGAUCAAUCGACUAUUUAUUUGUACUUUGCUACUAUAGUAAUUUGUUUAAUGUUCGAAAAUGCCGGUUUUUGAUCGCGUUACAAGUUACGUAAUAGGGGAUUUGAUAACAUUCUUUACUCGGCGUUGUGAUUGGUGUCGGUUACUAAAUUAAAUGGAUGCACAUUUGAACUUGAGUGUUAUAGUUAAGCAAAUACAAAUCAUGUUAAAAAUGAAAAGAAUUGUUGCACCAGAUUUUUUUGCCAAGUCACCAUCGAACACCAAUUUGAAGUUUUAUACUCUCAGCCAUGGUAGCCGCACACCAGCAACACCCGCCGCUAGUGCCCGCUUUGCCCCUCAGUAGCUUGGCUAGAAGUAGGCAAAUAAUAGCUACCUACGCGCGGAAAACCAAAGAGGAAUUGCCGGCCGGCGGCGGCAAAAGCGUUGGU